rnacentral:rRNA from 1 species
GUGGGGAAUCUUCCGCAAUGGACGAAAGUCUGACGGAGCAACGCCGCGUGAGUGAUGAAGGUCUUCGGAUUGUAAAGCUCUGUUAAUCGGGACGAAAGAGCCUAGUGUGAAUAAUGCUAGGAAGUGACGGUACCGGAAUAGAAAGCCACGGCUAACUACGUGCCAGCAGCCGCGGUAAUACGUAGGUGGCAAGCGUUGUCCGGAAUUAUUGGGCGUAAAGCGCGCGCAGGCGGAUCUGCCAGUCUGUCUUAAAAGUUCGGGGCUUAACCCCGUGAUGGGAUGGAAACUACAGAUCUAGAGUAUCGGAGAGGAAAGUGGAAUUCCUAGUGUAGCGGUGAAAUGCGUAGAUAUUAGGAAGAACACCAGUGGCGAAGGCGACUUUCUGGACGAAAACUGACGCUGAGGCACGAAAGCCAGGGGAGCGAACGGGAUUAGAAACCCUAGUAGUCC